AGCUGAUCACCAUCCGCGUGAGGGAUGACGGCCUUAGGGCUGUAAACCUCUUUUCUCACAAGAGAAAUUCUGACGUGCACGUGAGGAAUUGACAGCUACCUAACUCCGUGCCACCGGCCGCCUCCAUGCCGGGGAUGCCAGCGUUACCCAGGAUCCUUGCGCGUACCGCACCUGUUGGGUGUUUAAGGUCUCUGUGGUGAAAGACUAGGGCUAAGCCCUAUCAAAGCACUGGACACUACUACUCCCUUUUAUGCUGGGGGUCUAGGGUAUUUCUGGUGUAGCUGUAAUAUGCAUAGAUACUGUGAAGAGCACCGGUGGCAAACGCACUCCACUGUGCCAUUGCUGACUCUCAGAGGCAAACGCUCGGGUAGCAAAAGGGAUUAGAUACCCCGUGUAGUCCUAGCCUAUCAC
rnacentral:rRNA from 1 species